rnacentral:rRNA from 1 species
UACGUAGGGGGCGAGCGUUGUCCGGAAUCAUUGGGCGUAAAGAGCUCGUAGGCGGUUCAGUAAGUCAGGUGUGGAAGCUCCGAGCUCAACUCGGAGAGGCCACCUGAUACUGCUGUGACUAGAAUCCAGUAGGGGAGUGUGGAACUCCUGGUGUAGCGGUGAAAUGCGCAGAUAUCAGGAAGAACACCAGCGGCGAAGGCGGCACUCUGGGCUGGAAUUGACGCUGAGGAGCGAAAGUGUGGGUAGCAAACAGG